UACGUAGGGUGCGAGCGUUAAUCGGAAUUACUGGGCGUAAAGCGUGCGCAGGCGGUUUGUUAAGUCCGCUGUGAAAUCCCCGAGCUCAACUUGGGAAUUGCAGUGGAUACUGGCAAGCUGGAGUAUGGUAGAGGAAGGUGGAAUUCCCGGUGUAGCAGUGAAAUGCGUAGAGAUCGGGAGGAACACCAGUGGCGAAGGCGGCCUUCUGGACCAAUACUGACGCUCAUGCACGAAAGCGUGGGGGAGCAAACAGG
rnacentral:rRNA from 1 species